ACUCAAAGGAAUAGACGGGGACCCGCACAAGCAGCGGAGCAUGUGGUUUAAUUCGAAGCAACGCGAAGAACCUUACCAGGGCUUGACAUGCCCCUGACAGAUACAGAGAUGUAUCGUUACCUUCGGGUACAGGGGACACAGGUGGUGCAUGGUUGUCGUCAGCUCGUGUCGUGAGAUGUUGGGUUAAGUCCCGCAACGAGCGCAACCCUUGCCUUUAGUUGCUAACAUUAAGUUGAGAACUCUAGAGGGACUGCCGAUGACAAAUCGGAGGAAGGUGGGGAUGACGUCAAAUCAUCAUGCCCUUUAUGUCCUGGGCUACACACGUGCUACAAUGGUCGGUACAACGAGAAGCGACAUAGUGAUGUGAAGCAAAUCUCUAAAAGCCGAUCUCAGUUCGGAUUGCAGGCUGCAACUCGCCUGCAUGAAGUCGGAGUUGCUAGUAAUCGCGAAUCAGAAUGUCGCGGUGAAUGCGUUCCCGGGUCUUGCACACACCGCCCGU
rnacentral:rRNA from 1 species